CACUUCCGAGGACGGGGAGGAAGAGAGCAGCGUGCUGAAUCAGAGCUGGUGCUAGGACAGCUGCGCUGGGGCUCCACAGAACCACAGAACGGGUUAAUUUUUUUUUGCUGGGAGGCUGGAGCGAGGCUGCAGGGACGGCACAGCCCUCCAGGAGUGCACUGCUGCUGCUUUAGGAGAAGAACAACAGGGCGAGGCCCUGGUUAUCGUGGGGGAUUUCAACUACCCUGACGCUUGCUGGAAGGCCUACUCAGCCAGCCAUCCGCAGUCCAGGAGGUUCCUCCAGUGCACUGAUGAUAACUUCCUGACGCAAAUGGUGGACGUGCCAAAUAAGAGAGGAGUGCUGCUGGGUCUUGUCCUCACUAACAAGGAGGAGCUGGUUGAAGCGGUGAAGGUCUAGGGCAGCCUUGGUUGCAGAGACCCUGAGAUGGUGGAGUUCGGGAUCUCAUGUGGCAGGAACAGAAUACUGAGCAGAAUUGCAUCCCUGGACUUCAGUAGGGCCAACUUUGGCCUUUUCAAGCAAUUGCUAGGGGAAUCCCAAAGGACAUGGUGCUUGAAGGAAAAGGAGCCCAAGAUAGUCGGUUAGCAUUCAAGGACUGCUUCUUCUGAGCUCAAGAUCAGAGCAUCCCAACAGAUGCUGUUCUGAUGUUUGCAGGGGUCCAUGGAAGCCAGCUGGAUGCUGCCAGGAGGCUGGUCCAUCACUGCUAGAGCGACCCUCCUGAGAGCGCGUUGCUGCAGAAGGAGCUCAAUCCUCGUGCCGGUUUGAAAGCACCUGCAGGUCUUUGCCAUGUCCUUCGCAGGCUACCUGCUGCUGCUUUUGAAGGGGUCCUGUCUUGCAGCAGAAAUGACACUAACAGUGGCAGAGGAAGGAUCCUCUGUCAUGAUGCACGCACCGGCUAUCAAGAAUGUGAACUUGACCGAGUGGGAAUACAUAAGAGACAGCACCCCCCAAUUCAUCCUGCAGUACUAUGCGGACUCACAGUUAAUAACCAUUUACCCAGCUUACAAAGACAGAGUGGUUUUCUACCAAAACAAUGGCUCCUUUGUCCUGCAGAAGCUGCGAGAGAUGGACAGUGGCAUCUAUAAAGCAACAGUUGACUUGAUGCAGGACAAAGCAAGAAUGACCUCUCUUAGAGUGAUCAAGCCCUUGCCCCAGCCCAAGCUCCUGAGCAGCUCAAACCUGGCCGGUUCACUCAUCAACCUGACCUGCAUGCUGCCAGAAGGAAUGGUGGCUGAUGUCUCCUGGAAGAAGGACGGACAUCCCCUUCCUCCUGAAAAGUGCUGUCGGCUCACUUGGAAGACCACCAUGCUGCAGAUAAGGAAGGCAGAGAAGUCGGAUUGCGGCUCCUACUCCUGCAUAAUCAACAACUCCGUAAGCUGGAAGGAGGCAGCCCUCAACCUGACCGUGACAGGUCUUACACCUCCUGUCCGUGCUGCACAGAUGAUGACCGCUGCUGCGCUGGUGCUCGCUGCUAUCUCUGCCGUCCUCUUCGUUAUCCAGCUCUGUCAGCUGGGGAAGCACAAACUCGGAAAGGAAGCAUGGAAAUGGUUAAUGAUGACCAUUCUAGGGCUGCUGUGCACCUCUUCUCUCCUCCUGUUUGCUGCCUCUGUCAUCUGGAUGCAGGAAGAUGGUCAUUCCGCUGCCUUCAUCCUGCUCGGGCUUUUCCUCGUGGCUGUGAUCGUGGCCACGGCGCUGACAGCGGUGGCGAUGGCGCCGUGCAGACCAGCAGUGCUCACACACUUCAGGUCCAAAGGCUGGCACCGUGUCAUCCUGUGCAUUACAGCCACGACGCUGGUAGUCAACCUGCUGUUCACCAGCCUCCUGCUCCACAGCUUCCAUCAGCUCCACGAGCGGGGCUGCUCAGAGGCUGUCGAUCUGACCAUCGGCUUCAUCAUUCCUGCUGUGGCAGCCCUCCCCAUACCGCUGCUCCUCUUCCGGUGUUGUAAGUAGCCCAGUGGUUUCCUUCCAGCCACACCAAGUAGCUGCUCCGUCACUGAGACCCCGCUCUCAGCUCCCACCCCCUGGCAUCAGGUCUUGAGAGAAGAGGCAAAGUGCCUCUGCUUCACCCAGGGAUGCUCAAGGAGGUGUUCAUGGAAAGCGAGUUUCUCCCCCCGAAUGUGGAGGAUGCUCUUUUGCUCUCCUCCUCACUCAGGAGACGUGGGCUGGUGCCCAGCUGGCCACUAACCUGAGCAGUAGUGAACCCACGGUGUGGCUCGCCGGCUCCCCAGAAACGCGUGCGCAGCCUUCAGCAUCACCUGCAGGAACGGGUGCAGAAAAGGCUCCAUGACGUGUUGAGGAGAAGGCUGGAAGGGGACCCCCUGCUUUCCCAGGGUGUGCAGAACAUUUGGGAAUCUGAAAUACAAGAAAUAUUGCACUAACCUACCAAUGGCUGGUACGUUAGAGAUGCAGGGGCUUGCAGGCAAGUCGCAUUUUCACAUGUCCCUGUGAAGCUCAGAGUGGCCUUGGAAACGCAGGAGCUGAUGCCCUCUCCUUCAUUUCCAGCUUACAAGAAUAAGCGGGAGAAGCAGCAGCAGCCGGACACCCAGGAGGCCACCCACAGCUUACAGGCCACGUCCACCUCGGUGACUCGCUGCCCACUUCAGGUGUCUCCUUCUCCGGUUGCUGCAGAGCCUCAUAAUGUAACAAUGAAUAUUUAAUACUCACCGGGAAGCAUCCAUCUGCCUUUCUGCAGAACGGCAUGGGCAGCUUUGUCACCACCCGGGGGGGUGACAUCAAAAGAACCAGUCAUUGGAAAAUCUGGUACAUUCCUCCUAGGCCAGUCCAGAAACGUAACGAAUGCCAAAGUGGAUACUGGAUGAUUUUGAGUCUUAAGGAUUCUUUGUAAUACAUCUAAGUUAGAUUGCUGCUCUUUUGUAAGUGAGCUUCCCGUGGUUCCUGACCGCUCACCUCCUGUCCUGCAGAUCGGUGAUGGGUGCUCGAGAUCCUUUCCUUUUCCUCCAACUAUGGUUGGGUUGGGCAUUGCCACCAGAAUGGACUGCUACAGCCUCACUUGUGCCACACGUUGGUACCAUGUAUGGUGACGGAGUGCACGGACUCUUACUGUGAUCAAGUAAGAGUCUCUAUUGCAACCCGGCUAUGCUCCUUUUACACACUUUCCUUCCAGAGGUUUUCCUUCCACAAAACCCUCCAGCCCCCCUUUACAGUCCUUUGAUCCUUGUAUUUCUCAGGCUGGUAGGUACCUUAUCGCAACCUCCUGUUCCCAUGCCGGGUUUUGGUCACGCUUCGUUACUUUCCUCUUUCCUGGGCCUCAUGGCAGUCCUUGCUCUUACCUCCUCUUGUUAUUUAUGUAUCCCCCACAUGUCUCUUGUCUUCAGAACUCCCUUCCUGGAUUUUCAUGAGUCUUAUCCACAUUUCUAAUUAAACCUACUUUUUCUACGUUUCCCACAAUUUAUCCAUAUACAUUGUUAAUUAAACCUACAUUUUCUAUAUGAUUACAUAUCCCACACUGGUCUACCUUUUUGCAGUUGCCCUUUCCUGGGCCUUGACCAUUAUUCUUGUUGGCACCCUCUCCUUUUCUGAUUUUUUAUUUAUAAAUAUAUAUGUUCUGUUUUUCUAUAUAUAUAUUCUGAUUUUUUAUAUGAAUUUAAAAGCACCUGUGACCUAGCCUGAGCUGAUUUCCCUUGCACAGGCACUUAGCUGACCUUGUAGUCAUGCCACAGCUGUCAGUGGUCUCCAUAUUUGUGGGUUGAAGUGUUUUAGGUGGAGCUGAAGGUCCUUUUUUGUCCCUCUGGUAUCAGCUGAGAAACGUGUUCAUAUAUGAAAAUAAAAUAAAUAAGUAAACAACCUA